UUGCUGGUUCCGCAUUUCGGAUCUGUGAGGUGGGGGAGGCGGGGGAGCCAGACGCAGCGGUUCACUCAGGUCUGCAGCCUCUAAAACCCGAGCUCGGAGACCCUGCUGCCCUCCUUCCGCUGUCCGCGAUCAGAGGACCGUUCUCUUCCUCUCGGUUCCCGCGCCAGUUCCGAAUCCUGACGGGGCGGGGGCCAGCGGCCCCUCCCCUGCUCUCCUAGGACCGAAGAUGAGCUUCCUCUUCAGUAGCCGUUCUUCUAAAACAUUCAAGCCAAAGAAGAAUAUUCCUGAAGGCUCUCACCAGUAUGAACUCUUAAAACAUGCAGAAGCAACUCUAGGAAGUGGGAAUCUGAGACAGGCUGUUAUGUUGCCAGAGGGAGAAGACCUCAAUGAGUGGAUUGCUGUUAAUACUGUGGAUUUCUUCAAUCAGAUUAACAUGUUGUAUGGAACUAUUACAGAAUUCUGCACUGAAGCAAGCUGUCCAGUCAUGUCUGCAGGUCCCAGAUAUGAAUAUCAUUGGGCAGAUGGUACUAAUAUUAAAAAGCCAAUCAAAUGUUCUGCACCAAAAUACAUUGACUAUCUGAUGACUUGGGUUCAGGAUCAGCUUGAUGAUGAAACUCUUUUUCCUUCUAAGAUUGAAUAUUCCCAGCUAUUCUGCGAUAUUUGUUCUUCCAAAGAACUUAGAAUCAUUUUCUUAAGGUGUCCCAUUUCCCAAAAACUUUAUGUCUGUGGCAAAGACCAUUCUAAAGCGUCUGUUCAGGGUUUAUGCCCAUAUUUAUCAUCAGCACUUUGAUUCUGUGAUGCAGCUGCAAGAGGAGGCCCACCUCAACACCUCCUUUAAGCACUUUAUUUUCUUUGUUCAGGAGUUUAAUCUGAUUGAUAGGCGUGAGUUGGCACCUCUUCAGGAAUUAAUUGAGAAGCUUGGCUCGAAAGACAGAUAAAUGUUUCUUCAAAACAAAGUUACCCUCUUGCUUCAUCUACUGCUAGAGAUAUUUCAUUGUUAUCUGUUAUAGACUAGUGAUACAAACUUAAAGAAAACAAGAUAAAAAGAUACCUGUUUUCUGUGUCUACAGGUAAAAUUGUCCCAAAGGUAGGUGGGCCUGAUAGUUUCAGAAUGAGACCUUAAGGACACAGCAAAAUCAGAGGGACUGUGGGACCAUUCCCAUUAUUGUCAGAGUCAUACUUGGUUGUAACAUGUAAUUACUAGCCUGUAGUUUUCUUUUUUGCUCAGCAAAAUGAUUGAAUCUGUUUCAGUUGACAACAUAACACAUAGUUUUUACCAAUAAUUUAUUAAUUAGUUUUCAGAACAAAUUUCCUAAUAACACAAUCAGAUCAGUGUUAUUCUGCUUUUAUUUUACAAAAAGGAAAGUUAUUUUUAAAUUUCCUUAACAUUUAGAACUUUUGUGUCACUUUGGAUAAUCUUUAGUUUCAAGUUUGAAUGCUAGUGUUUUUAUAGAUAAGAAUAUAUAUGUUUUCAAAAUCCACAAUCACAGUUUAAAUCUCUUAUGGCAUAUGUGGAAUGGGGAGUAACCAAAGUUAUUUUUAAAGUGACUUUAUUUUGUAAUCUUUAUUUGGGAUUGUAUUCACAUCUAUCUAAAUUAUUAGGAAUGUGUGUGUAUCAGAGAUAAUUUUUUUUUUACAUUCUAAUGAUGGUCUUGUAGGUUUUUAUUUUGAAAUGCUUCUUUCAAAUCAAUUAAUAUAUAGCUUUUGAUUAAGAAAAAGUUUCCAAAAAAAAUUUGGCAAACAGGUCUCAAAGCCACUGUUCAUUUAUGUUGUUUUUCAGAGGCCUUACAGUUCUGGGUCAGAGAGUUGUAGAAAGUACUCAGAGUAUUUUAUUAUUUUAUUUCUUAAAAAUGUUACUUCUGUAUUUUUAAGAGUAGUAUAGAAAUGCACAAACUUUAUCCCAAUAAGGACAAAAUUUAAAACCACAAUAAAAAAAAAACAUGAAGGUGCAUACAUUUUAUAACACAGCUAAAGGUUUGGUCUGCUACCUAUACUUGACACAAAGUGUGUAUAUAAAGUCAACAUAAUGGGAAAAUAGGUUUAAAAAAAAAAAAAAGAACAAUUUUAUAUCAUUCAGUUAAUUACUCAAAGGUGGAUUGAGUGUCCAUAGGGGUUUUAUCCUGUUUGUAUCAAAACUUGAAAUUCUUCUCUUUCUACUGGGAUAAAAGAAUCUUCACAUUUAGUGAAGAAAAUGCCUGUUUUUUAUUUGAUUCUUUGAAGUCUGUCAAAGCUUUCAUUCAUCAUCAUUUUGUGUUGCAGAGCUUUGGAUUUUGCAGAGUACUAACCAGACUCCUUGAUGUCUUUGAUUUGAUGAGGUUUUUUAAUAGCUCAAUUUCAAUAAAUUCUUAAACAAUACACAGAAUUUUAAAGGACAUUAUUUCAUUUAAUUUAAGCUGAAACCAUCAUUGUUUAAGGAAUUCAAGAGUAGUGUAAUCACGAAAAAAAGAGAAAAGCCCUCUGUAAACCAUUCUAUAGUUCAUAUUUUAAAUGUAUUGAGAGGUCCAAAUGUCAGUCAUUCUGCACAUUUUCUCUAAUUAUUGGAAAUGAGAGUGGGUUCCGAACGUGGCUGGGUGCGGUGGCGCACACCUCUAAUCCCAAUGGCUCAGGAGGCUGAGGCAGGAGGAUCGCAAGUUCAGAGCCAGCCUCAGCAAUUUAGUGAGGCACUAAGCAACUCAGUGAGACCCUGCCUCUAAUAAAAUACAAAAUAAGAAUAGGAAUGUGGCUCAGUGAUUGAGUGCCCCUGAGUUCAAUCCCUGGAACCCCCUUACCUCACUCCUCCCCCCAAAAAAGAGUGGGUUCCUGAAUGACACCUAGAAUGUAAUUACCUCUCAACCUCCAACCCUGUGGACUUUUUAUUUUAUUUCUUGUGUUACCAAGGAUUGAAUCCAGGGCCUUGCACAUGCUAGGCAAGCGCUAUACAACUGAGCUACAUCCCAAGCCCCUUUUUAAAGUUUAUUUCAAGACAGGGUCUCAGAAGUUGCCAACUCUGGCCUGGGACUUCCAAUUCUUCAACCUCGGCCUCUCAAGUAAUGGGAUUACAGGCAAGCACAAUGGUGUCCAGUGGCUUUAAUUUUUUUAAGUCUACAAGGAAUGAAAUUGUUUCUCAAUUAGGUUAUACUUUUAUCAUAAUUUCUAAUAUUUCAAAUAUUCUCAAAAGGUUUUUCACUUCUCUCCACUAUUUUUAGUGACAGAAAUUCUGUUUUCAUGAGUAAGCCCCAAAACAAACCAAAGAUGGUCACAUGGUAGGACAGUAGUAAAGGCAGCUUAUUAAUGGGUUGUAAAUUUUAAAAUUGUUGGUAAUUUGAGAUUUAGAAUGUAGUUUUUUAUUUUGUUUUCUUUUACUUUUUAAUGAAAACAUUACUAGAUUCCCAAACCAGUUUGGCUCAACCAACAGUGCCACCUAAACAUUACGUUCUUUGUCGACUUCUUACAGCAGGAGAAUUGGAGGAAUGGGAAAGGAUGGGAAGUGAAUGGUGCCUUCCUGACAUGGCUGAAGAGCCACUCUUUGAAAAGUGUUUGAAGAAAUCAUUGUGUCUUGGUCUCACUUUUGAUUUACCUAUUCAUAUUCAGGGUUUCCCUGUUCUUCAGUACUCUCUUCUCUUCCCUUCCUAAGAGGAAGUAGUCUCCUCAGAGUCACAUCUCUGCUUCUCAUAACAUGAUUACCAUCAUGGGGUGGAGAGUGCUUGCUAAAUUAUGCAGCUAAUCCUGUGGUGCUUUAAUUUUCAGGCCUUUAAAAAAAAAACUUGGACAAUGAUGUAUAGAUUUUUGUUUAAAUAUUCAAACUGCCUUGUACUAUAGUUUUUAUAUUGAAAGCCAGUUGUAUCCUUUAUUCUUCAGAUUUGCAUGAAUAAAGUGUCUUUAUGGGCUGUCAGCUAA